ensembl:lincRNA Gm27162 predicted gene 27162
UCAGUUCAUAUGGGAUGGGACCUCCUGAACCCUUUUAGACAGGGCCGGCGCCACCUGCUGUGACAACUCUUGAGACGACUAGAAAACCAGAUAGAAUGAGGCAGCAUGGAUGAAUAAGUCACAACUAGCCAUGCUCCUGCAUCAGCUCUACUCCUUUUCUGCCUAGUGAAUCUGGACAAGAAAAUUAAAGCCUUCAGUUGGAAUGAUGUCAGCCCUACUUGGGAGUAGGGAGAAGAAGGCUGCUCCAGUGAGCCCUUGUAGCAGAAGAAUGUCAAGAUAGUGUUCUGCCCAGCACCAGAGUGGAAUAUGUCAGACCACUCGCAGCACUGCUGUUUGAUCUUAUCGGGCUGCUGCGGAGGUGAAGCUUAGAUGCCUGGAGAGAAUUAAACAAGCCUUAUUGACUUCCCACAGAGAAGCCUGUUCAGCUAGGCACCAUGAGGUUGAGAGAUUAACACUGCAGAAUGGAAACAAAGAACAUUGAUGAAGCACUUGGGUGAACUCGGGUAAGACGUUUUCUCCAAUCAAGUUAUCAAAGCCGAAUUCCUGUUAGUCCUUUUGGAACUCUUUUUGCUUAUGAAGCAGAUAUGGAUUGGAGGGCACACUGGUCCCUAUUGUUGUUCUGCAGGCUUGCUUGUGUUAGGUCAGCAUAUUAGUUCCCCUACCUCUGUAAAGACUGAGAACCACAUUUGGAAUCAGGACAGGAAGUACACCCCCUCCUUAAACCCUUUACUUUCUGGAGAAGUCACGGGUGGUGAAGAUGUUUCCUGCCAUUCUUUACAGAAGCAAGAGUCGCUUUAGGGUUGUUUCAUUAUCAGUGGAGUAGUUGUCCCGUGGACCUCUGCCCUUUAAGAGUGAAAGAGCAGUCAAGACAGAGCCCACUAGCCUCACGUCGUCACAGUUGCAAGCAAGCAAACCUGUCAUCUUCCUGUAUUAUCUACAAAUGGUGUUUGUUUCCUUUGACGUAUAUUCUAACACUUGGGGCAGGAGGGAUUUCUCGAAAAAACAAUAUUGUUGAGUAUACCAAUUCCCUGCCCCCAGCCAUCCUUUCUGUUUCCUUUUCAAGGCUCCAGGAAUUGCUAAAUGGCAUAUCCUGGACAACCAACACUCUUCAGCUAAAAAUACCAGAGGGUGAGCUUAUCUCGAGCAAUGCUUCCUCUCCAGGGGGUUCAUAGACAUUAUCUCAUUUAUUCUUAAAAACACCCUGUGAGGUAGGGCAUGGCCAAAGAACUGGAUCCCAGAAAGGUAAGGAAGCUUUAAGACAAAAGGUCACUGGCAGAGGUUCGAUUCUGAAGCCCAGCAGAACAGCUCAGAUGUGUAACUUUCAAGCUGUAAAAUCUACUCACCAGGCAUCAAUAACUUGACUGCAGGAGCCCAGAGACCCCCUUAUUAAAUAGAUAUAGAUAUAGGAGAUAGAGAUAGAGAUAGAGAUAGAGAUAGAGAUAGAGAUAGAGAUAGAGAUAGAGAUAGAGAUAGAGAUAGAGAUAGAGAUAGAGAUAGAGAUAGAGAUAUAUAACAAGACUCCUGGCAUACAGGAAAAGACAGAGCUUAGCGGAAAUUGGAUCCCCAAAGCUACUUCUUCAGGGUAAUGAUGAUUUCUUUGUUAUCUAUAACAAACUGGAGAAGAACAUUGAUCAUCUUUUCAAAUUGUCCCAUUGCCCUCCUAACCUCAUCUGCUAACAUGGCUUCAUGUCCCACCUACACACAAACUGGAACAACUGGCUUAGUUGUCUCAGAGAAACAGUAUAUAUAUAUAUGUAUAUAUACAUAUACAUAUAUAUAUAUCCCUUCUAGAAGUCAGACAUGACUUGCUUAUACAUACUUCAAAAACAGAUUCCAUAAUCAACAAAAUACAUUGUUCUGACAUUCUAUAUAUUGUCUUAUAUUCCUUUCCUCAAGACUUGGUCCCAUGCCCAAACCCGAGAGUCAUGGCAGCUUCUAGGUCCUCUUAGGAGCAUACGCAAAUCCUGUUACUGACAUAUCUCCUCUAUGCCCCUCAUGACUAAUUUUUUUCCCACCCAUACUCAUGCCCAAGGAGAAUGAGCUUGGGAGCAUGAACUACCGAGCUCCCUCCUCUCUGCCUGCUAGCUGAUUUAGCAGGAGGUUAAGGGGAGACAAGAGUAUGUUGUUAGUUUUACCUUAUUUCUUCCCUGUAGGGUGACUAUGACUGAGUCCUGCCCACAAGGCCAGCUCCUCCUUCAAACACUGCUCUUUGUCUGGGUUUUUAGUAAGCAUCACUUCCUGAUGGCCACCAGCCUGGAAGUUUUAAAGGAUCCUCCUGCUAAUGUUCCCAGUUCUUUUGUCGUCCCUAUUAUAUGUAUUAAAGCCACAACACAUUCUGUAAAUAGUUCCUUCAUAAACUUGUUACAGCUCCUAGAUAGAAUGGAUUCCAUUGGUCCUAGUUUGUUUUUUUGAUCUUGUAAUAAAACCAUGAUCAAAU